UCACCAGAGCUUGCUACGGUCACCUCAACUCUGAACAGUGCGUCACACCUCAUCUACGAUGCAGCUCUUCUUAACGAAUCUUAAUAACAUUCAAACGAAUAAAAUUUAAUAUCACUUCACGGCACAUUUCUUCCAUCUAUAAGUUCAGAAUGUUUCCGCAUUAAGAGGAAUCAUCCUAAUAUAAGUUUAUAA